AUAGUUUACCUGGCAGGGGAGGAUCUAUGAUCACCAAGGUGUUUUUCCCCAGGGUGGGGACUGUCCCUUUUACUCUGGGCAGGCUGGCUGACUCCUGUGAGUUCCCUAAGGCAGUUUUCCCAGUGACAACUGUCCAUUUUGCUCCAGCCAGGUUGACCCCUAC
rnacentral:snRNA from 1 species